rnacentral:misc_RNA from 1 species
GGCAGAGCAAACUUAGAGAACUGCAAAAACAUGUCAAGGAGUAUUGAUGCAGUUAUGAAGACUAAUACUUGCUAAAAGUGCAGUGAUGAGCAAUUCAAGAGUAGUAAGAAGGUCAAUACUCUUAUGCUUGGAUUCUCAUAGUUCUGUGAGAGCCAUUCUGUUCUAUAUUUUGUACAAGGGAAGUCAUAAAAUGUUGAUGGUGUUGC